AACGAACGCUGGCGGCAUGCCUAACACAUGCAAGUCGAACGAUACCUUCGGGUCUAGUGGCGCACGGGUGCGUAACGCGUGGGAACCUGCCCUUAGGUUCGGAAUAACUCCCCGACAGGGGUGCUAAUACCGGAUAAUGUCUUCGAACCAAAGAUUUAUCGCCUUUGGAUGUGCCCGCGUUGGAUUAGCUAGUUGGUAGGGUAAAAGCCUACCAAGGCGACGAUCCAUAGCUGGUCUGAGAGGAUGAUCAGCCACACUGGGACUGGGACCCGGCCCAGACUCCUACGGGAGGCAGCAGUAGGGAAUAUUGGAAAAUGGGCGAAAGCCUGAUACAGCAAUGCCGCGUGAGUGAUGAAGGCCUUAGGGUUGUAAAGCUCUUUUACCCGGGAUGAUAAUGACAGUACCGGGAGAAUAAGCGCCGGCUAACUCCGUG
rnacentral:rRNA from 1 species